rnacentral:rRNA from 1 species
AACCAGCACCUCAAGUGGUCAGGAUGAUUAUUGGGCCUAAAGCAUCCGUAGCCUGUUCUAUAAGUUUCCGGUUAAAUCCAUGCGCUUAACGUAUGGGCCGCCGAAAAUACUGUAGAACUAGGGAGUGGGAGAGGUAGACGGUACUCGAUAGGAAGAGGUAAAAUUCUUUGAUCUAUUGAUGACCACCUGUGGCGAAGGCGGUCUACCAGAACACGUUCGACGGUGAGGGAUGAAAGCUGGGGGAGCAAAC